UCAGUUGAAGGGUGGUUUUGGGGCUGGGGAUCAAGCAACGAAUGCGACGACGACCAGUGUCGCGCGAAGAUCGACGGGGAAUUCGAGUGCUUCGACGAGGGCGAACGCUGGAAAAAAUAUUUCAAAAAUCUACCCCGGUUCCCCUACCACCAGAGCUGUGUCUGUACACUCAAUCGUCAUGGUAACGCAAAGCGAGAAUGCACACUGGUAAAGAACGGACCUGGUCGCUAGAGCGGAAAAAACACGGCUCCGUUUGGGCCGUGGACUGAAUCCGAAAACUUUUUUUCCUGACAUCAUUCCGGGGGCAAAUAAAAAUGCUACAAUCAUGAUGAGUUAGGUGAUAACAUUACAUAGAAAUAAUUAAACUCCUAUGAAAAAUUAAAUGGGUUAACGGAUAUAUCGACUUUAAUCAUGAGACUAUUCAUUGAUAAGAGCAUAAAAUUUUAGUUCAUUUAUUGUCUCCCAGGCGGCCGAACCGGCUUCCUUCAGUCCUGCCACCAAGGAGUCACCUCGGGAACUAAAAUCAUCCAUUAUCCUGUCAUCAGUUAAGAGCAGUUGGAAUGAUUUUCUGGUUACUAAUGUCAAUAUAUGUGAUUCAGGAGCAUCUAAUUUUGCUUGUAGAUUUCUUUUAUCUAAAGAAAGCACCUUACUUAUCGCGAUAAAAACAGUUUUGCUCUGCCCCCCCCCCCCCCCCUCCGCUGCUAUCAAUUGUAAAUGAAAUUUUCUGAAGGAGAUAACGCGUAAAUAAGCUAAUGCUUCUGUUUGUCUCUUACCCCGAUUGAGAAAUCGAGCCAGGUUUCAAAGUAUGGAAUAAACUCGCAGGAUACUUUGA